rnacentral:rRNA from 1 species
GGGAUAAGCCUGGGAAACUGGGUCUAAUACCGAAUAUGACUGCAUUCUUCAUGGGGUGUGGUGGAAAGCUUUUGCGGUGUGGGAUGGGCCCGCGGCCUAUCAGCUUGUUGGUGGGGUAAUGGCCUACCAAGGCGACGACGGGUAGCCGGCCUGAGAGGGUGACCGGCCACACUGGGACUGAGAUACGGCUCAGACUCCUACGGGAGGCAGCAGUGGGGAAUAUUGCACAAUGGGCGCAAGCCUGAUGCAGCGACGCCGCGUGAGGGAUGACGGCCUUCGGGUUGUAAACCUCUUUCAGCACAGACGAAGCGCAAGUGACGGUAUGUGCAGAAGAAGGACCGGCCAACUACGUGCCAGCAGCCGCGGUAAUACGUAGGGUCCGAGCGUUGUCCGGAAUUACUGGGCGUAAAGAGCUCGUAGGUGGUUUGUCGCGUUGUUCGUGAAAACUCACAGCUUAACUGUGGGCGUGCGGGCGAUACGGGCAGACUUGAGUACUGCAGGGGAGACUGGAAUUCCUGGUGUAGCGGUGGAAUGCGCAGAUAUCAGGAGGAACACCGGUGGCGAAGGCGGGUCUCUGGGCAGUAACUGACGCUGAGGAGCGAAAGCGUGGGGAGCGAACAGGAUUAGAUACCCUGGUAGUCCACGCCGU